rnacentral:rRNA from 1 species
GAUGAACGCUGGCGGCGUGCCUAAUACAUGCAAGUCGAGCGAACGGACGAGAAGCUUGCUUUUCUGAUGUUAGCGGCGGACGGGUGAGUAACACGUGGAUAACCUACCUAUAAGAAUGGGAUAACUUCGGGAAACCGGAGCUAAUACCGGAUAAUAUUUUGAACCGCAUGGUUCAAAAGUGAAAGACGGUCUUGCUGUCACUUAUAGAUGGAUCCGCGCUGCAUUAGCUAGUUGGUAAGGUAACGGCUCACCAAGGCAACGAUGCAUAGCCGACCUGAGAGGGUGAUCGGCCACACUGGAACUGAGACACGGUCCAGACUCCUACGGGAGGCAGCAGUAGGGAAUCUUCCGCAAUGGGCGAAAGCCUGACGGAGCAACGCCGCGUGAGUGAUGAAGGUCUUCGGAUCGUAAAACUCUGUUAUUAGGGAAGAACAUAUGUGUAAGUAACUGUGCACAUCUUGACGGUACCUAAUCAGAAAGCCACGGCUAACUACGUG